rnacentral:SRP_RNA from 1 species
UCGUGCUAGACGGGGAACUAGCGGUGCCCUGCACCCGCAAUCCGCUCAGCGGGGUUGAAUUCCCCUUCUCGGUCCGGCCCUUUGGGACUGGGCCCGACAAGCAGCGUUGAUAGUCGGGUCCCGCACGGCGAAAACCUGUGAACCCCGCCAGGUCCGGGAGGAAGCAACGGUAAGCGGGCACUUUCGGGUGUUGCGGGGCGGCCUGGCUGGAGCCGGCUAUCGGGUACUAAGCUGGAGGGUCGUGGCCAAAAAGGGGUGCACGG